UAAGCAUAUCAAUAAGCGGAGGAAAAGAAACCAACCGGGAUUGCCUCAGUAACGGCGAGUGAAGCGGCAAGAGCUCAAAUUUGAAAGCUGGCUCCUUCGGAGUCCGCAUUGUAAUUUGCAGAGGAUGCUUUGGGUGCGGCCCCCGUCUAAGUGCCCUGGAACGGGCCGUCAGAGAGGGUGAGAAUCCCGUCUUGGGCGGGGUGUCCGUGCCCGUGUAAAGCUCCUUCGACGAGUCGAGUUGUUUGGGAAUGCAGCUCUAAAUGGGUGGUAAAUUUCAUCUAAAGCUAAAUACUGGCCGGAGACCGAUAGCGCACAAGUAGAGUGAUCGAAAGAUGAAAAGCACUUUGAAAAGAGAGUUAAACAGCACGUGAAAUUGUUGAAAGGGAAGCGCUUGCGACCAGACUCGCCCGCGGGGUUCAGCCGGCAUUCGUGCCGGUGUACUUCCCCGUGGGCGGGCCAGCGUCGGUUUGGGCGGCCGGUCAAAGGCCCCUGGAAUGUAGUGCCCUCCGGGGCACCUUAUAGCCAGGGGUGCAAUGCGGCCAGCCUGGACCGAGGAACGCGCUUCGGCACGGACGCUGGCAUAAUGGUCGUAAACGACCCGUCUUGAAACACGGACCAAGGAGUCUAACAUCUACGCGAGUGUUCGGGUGUCAAACCCGUGCGCGCAGUGAAAGCGAACGGAGGUGGGAGCCCCCUUGCGGGGCGCACCAUCGACCGAUCCUGAUGUCUUCGGAUGGAUUUGAGUAAGAGCGUAGCUGUGGGGACCCGAAAGAUGGUGAACUAUGCCUGAAUAGGGCGAAGCCAGAGGAAACUCUGGUGGAGGCUCGCAGCGGUUCUGACGUGCAAAUCGAUCGUCAAAUUUGGGUAUAGGGGCGAAAGACUAAUCGAACCAUCUAGUAGCUGGUUCCUGCCGA
rnacentral:rRNA from 1 species